UGAGUGGUGUUUGGUUUGUUACGGGUGGUUGGCUAUUUGCUUGCGCAACAACUUCUACCUGGCAUACCUCUUCAGUCUUGUGUCAAUGCUUUUAUUGCAUUGAAUGCAUGAUGGGUUUCUUGUGUUGCAUGCCUAAUUAAUGGUAUCACUUGAUGAAUUGGUUUUCCUUUCGUCUGGCAUUGCCUAUGCGAUGUGAGAUGAACCUUGAAGCAGCCUUUGUGAUCCACUCUUUUGAUGCAUACGCAUUGAUUUUGUGGCUCGUUGAGUGUUGCUCGGUCUCAUGGAUACGGAACCUGAUGUGGGCAUGGAAUCUUAAUGGUUCCUUGUUUGCCCAAGUUUAGCUUUUCUAAAACGAUUGUCUAUCAUGUGUUAACGUGGUAGACUACUUCGAAUAUGAAUGC
rnacentral:misc_RNA from 1 species